UGUGAAGGAAAGUCACCACAGGGCAAAGGUA
rnacentral:piRNA from 1 species